rnacentral:lncRNA from 1 species
GCUGUGCUUUGUCAUCCACUGCAGGAGGAGUCCCUAACCCUAACCCUCCCGGCCUCCAGCAGAUGCCGCUUGAGGUGCUGCAUUCACCCAGGCUUGUUGAAGCAGCCACUGACGCUUCUUAAGAAAGAUGGACUAGAUAGCCCUGGAGCCACAAAGCCAGGAAGACCGAACAGCACCAAGCACAUGAGAGCCUUGACAUCUUUGGAAAGCUGCUAGCUCUUAAAGUGGCUAAUCCCAACAAAGAUGUUAUUUGUUUUAACGUAAAAACAUAUGGGAGAAUUUAAAUAAAGCUUCCUACAAUGGUGGGCCUCUCCUGGAA